GUAAACGCUGGCGGCGUGCCUAAAACAUGCAAGUCGAACGGGCCUCUUCGGAGGUCAGUGGCAGACGGCUGAGGAACGCGUGGGUGACCUGCCCUCCAGUGGGGAAUAACUGCCCGAAAGGGUGGCUAAAACCGCAUGCGCUCCCCGGGUCGGACCGGGGAGGAAAGUCGCAAGGCGCUGGAGGAGGGGCCCGCGUCCGAUUAGCUGGUUGGUGAGGUAACGGCCCACCAAGGCGACGAUCGGUAGCUGGUCUCAGAGGAUGAUCAGCCAGACUGGGACUGAGAGACGGCCCAGACUCCUACGGGAGGCAGCAGUUAGGAAUUUUGGGCAAUGGGCGCAAGCCUGACCCAGCAACGCCGCGUGGGUGACGACGGCCUUCGGGUUGUAAAGCCCUUUUCUGGGGGACGAUGAUGACGGUACCCCAGGAAGAAGCACCGGCUAACUACGU
rnacentral:rRNA from 1 species